ACAUGGUUCAAUCAUGAAUCAGUAACCCAUUGAGUGAAGAGAAGGAACCCCAAGAUAACUUGAAUAAAUUUUAUCCUGUCACAGCUUUGGGUAAAACCCAGAUCUCAGAGUAAACAUAACGAAGGAAUGAAUGAUAGAUGACUGAAGCAAUUACAGUCCCGGUACCAUGUAAACCAAUGGGAAGAAUAUAAUUCUAUGAAUGAAGAACUACCACUACACAUAAUAGCAUAAAAAAUAUUUAGCAGGUAGCACAAUUGUUACCAACAACAUGAUGAUUCCACCUUUGAAAAGAAGAUUCCAUAACGAUAAUUCAAAAUGGAACAUAAUAUAGUCUUCAAGGAAAAACCAAAUCGCAGUUCACAUGGAAUACAAAACUCUUGUAGAAUCAAAAAAAUGGGAUAGGAAGCUUCACAACCCGCCACUGAAGCCAUAUUUGAGUCCAAAGGUUACAGAGACACAAGUAAGAAGUCUAUAUAUGAUAGCAUUACGCCUAUAGAACACAGUGUCAUUAGUUAUUUGGCAGGAGUUGACCCCCUCACCAAACUCCAUCAACUUGAUCAAAGUUCACAGAGCAGCUUUCAACACCACCCUAUAAACCAGGUCACAUCCAUGAUUCAAGCCUAUAAGAUAACUCUCUGAAGCAAUCAGCUGUUGCUCUAUAUAAUUGUUGAGCAAUGAGAGACAUUAUUUCAUCAGAAUGUUCGAUCGAACCUUGAUUAAGCACAAAAUUGAUCAUUCCAUUUCUAUACCUCGAAGCUAUUGAUUACUUAAUUAUUCUUGAUUUCCCUAGAAUUAAUCAAAAUUCAUUAAAGAUGCAUUCAUCACCAACACCAAAAAAAUCUUGGAACC